rnacentral:sRNA from 2 species
UAUCCCCCAAACUAAGGGGGGAUGAGAACACCCGACCGGGGUUCGACACAAAAACGCCGGGAGCGUUUUUGAACAGAGCUUGCUCUGGCCCCGAAGGGGCGAGCAAAGCGAGUCAAUCCCCCCCUCACCGCCA